AAAUGCCAUGCUGGGGCUUAAUGCUGGAGAAAGGUGCCUCUCAGCCCUGGAGACUAAAAUGGUCUCUAGCUCACAUACACCAGGCAGACUGGGAGCUUCCCCCAUCUGCUACCUUGCUAUCAUGCCUUAGCACUGACCUGCCUGGCCCUGUUGUAGGAUGUGGGGGAGAAAUCAGAUUGUUUUUUUAAAGCUUGGGGUUGGUAAUACCAUUUUAUGAUUUGAUAGCAAAUGCCAUGUGUCUUAAUAAAGCUCUAUUUACUUCUGGUUUCUGAGCUUCUGUACCAUAAGGCUAGAAACUCUCUACAGUAAUUCCUCACUUAAAGUUGCAUUUUUCAGGAACAUAACUACAAUGUUAAGUGAAACUAUGUUAAACAAAUCCAAUUUUCCCAUAAGAUUUAAUGUAAAUGCAGGGGGUUAAGUUCCAAGGACUCUUUUUUUUUUUUUUUUUUUUUUUUUUUUUUUUUUUUUUUUUCUUGGGGUGGACAAAAGGCAUGUACAGUACUGUGGUUGGGAAGGGCCCCUGGCUCACCCCACACAGGCACAGCCUGCUGCAGGCAAGGAUGCUAGAGGAAGCACCUUCACAGUGGCAGAUUCCCUGGAGAAGAACAGGUGCCGACUUUGCCGGGGGAUGCUCCAGGCCUGCCUCUUUUGGGCUCCACUCCAGGCCCACCACCUCUCCUGAGCAUGCUGCUUCCUUGCUCUUCCCCCUCCCUCCCAGAAAGUCCUAAGCACCACCUGCUUGGCAGUGGAGGAAGCCCUGGGGAGGAGGCAGAGAAGAGGAACUUGAGCUGUGACUUUACAAGGGAGCACUGCACUCCACAGAAUCUUACAAGCAGUGGACAGAGCAGGCAGCUAAAUGAUGUUCUAAGGGAGCAUUGCACAACUUUAAACAAGCAAGCUCCCUAAUUGAGCAGUGACAUAACUUUGAAACAACAUUAAGCGGAAGGAUGUUAUGUGAGCAGUUUCAGCUUUCAUUUAAUACAGUGACUCCUCACACUUGCAUGACUAGAAGAGCUGGGGCUGUAAGAGAACCACCAAAUGCUUUGAGAUUCUCUUAUAAAUCCAGCAUCAGCAGCACUGAACUUGGCCCACUCCAUGUUCCCUUGGGUUCCUGCUGUGACUGAUAACAAUGGUGCUAGCUGGGGAUGUGGACACCUGACCUCUAGGAACUGGAGCAUCCACUGACUUCAUAUGUAAACUUCAAGAAAGACAGAGCUGCUUCUGCCACCCUUUAUCUCGUUUCCCCCUUCUAAGCACUGGGCUGGGGAGUAGUAACACUUCACUUGCUGUAUAACUGUCUACACCUUAGUCCUGACACUCCCUCUCUGCCUGGAUGUUCCCUGCUCUGAAGGAAGCUCUCAACCUGUAUGAGCACUUAUCUUGGGGUCUGUACUCUUGCUGGGUCCUGCUUCCUCAGCGUACCUGGGUUUUUCUGCAACUAGCCCCCUAUUAUCUGAUAACAUUGGAUUUAAAGGAAAAAAUUCCCUGCUUUGUUGUGAUUCCUUGGAUCCUAGGAAUCAGUACUGUUAAAGUCUUCAUUUACCAUCUCACUCCAUGUGGAGGAGACUGAAGGCUAACUAGGAUGACAUCUCCAGCUGCGGUGCCUGGCUUGCGCACUGAGAGCGGAGGAGACUCUAAGCACAGUAGCUAAUCCAGUUGAGUCAGGACAAUAAUCAAAGGUUUCCUUCUCUAGUUGUCCCAGAGCUGGUUCCCUCCCAAUGGAACAGCUCCUCGCACCCAACCACAGCAGCUAGCGCCACUGGUCACAGUCUGCAAGAUGCCACAACUGCACAGUCUGCAAAGAUGAGCUUCUUCCGUAAAGUCUUGAAUGGUGAGAAACUCUUGGCCUCCUAGGUCAGGCAGGCCAAGUCCUGCAAAAGCCCAUGAGCUGGUACUAGCUACUUCAUCUUGGAUUAACCCCUCAGCAGAUCUGCAGCAGCAUCCUUGAAACUCUAUAGAGCUUAUUCUGUUCCUGACCCUGCAUCACUGCCAUCCCCUCACUGGGUGAGGCAGGGCUCUGGGUGGGGGUGGGUAGGCAGUACUUGCCUGUCCCUUGGUGGGCUGCUGCUCAGCAAAAUAACCACUGACUUGAAGGUUGCAACCUAGCCAGGCAGUCCCUUCAGUGCAGAAGUUGGUUACAUGUUUGUAGGACAGUAUUCCCCUACGCCAGCCUAUGGAUGACUCUUCCUGAAGGAUGAGCCAUUUGGGGCUCUUGUCGUUAUCUCCCUUCUGAGAGUUGCUGACUAGCCCUCUUAAUUACUAUCUGACCCCUCCUUCCAGAAUGACCCAAAGGCAGGUCCUAUUGCACCUGUCCAUGCCCUUCUACUCUCUUCAUGGGAGGAAAGACCAGCUACCUAGAAACCCAUGUAUACUUAAUAGUCCCUUCUUAUAGUGCUGCAGGUGUCAGGUUGGCCUCUCCAUAGGUUCUCUGCUGAACCUAUUUUCAGUAGGUCCCUCUGUGGUGGUGAAGGUCAGACUUGGCCAGUUCUGUGGCCAUAGUUAUCAGGCUGGUGAAUGCUUCAUGGGGAGGACUGAGAGGUGCCUGCAUGGUGCAUCAAUGUAUUAGAGGGCCUGAUGAAGGUCUCCAGUCUAAAGAAUGGGAUAGAAAGACAAGAUCUUCCUCUUCACCCAUUCUUGGAUUCCAAGAACAAAUGGACACCAGUGAAACUAGAAUGCAGCAAAUUUAAAACCUGAUAAGACUUGCCUAAGUGGAUUUCAAUGCCACCAAAAUGCACUGACCUCAAAGAACUCUGCCAGACUAAGAUGCUCUGUGGGUAGCAAGAUGAUUUCCAUAUUGAGUUUUAAAUAAACCAUGGCAUAAACCAAACUUUGCAGUGGGGGUGAGUGUUUAAUGAUAAAUUCCCCCAUGGGCAGCCUAGUUGCACAUUCCUCUAAAGUCUCUCCAGUUGGACUCUUUUGGGGAUAGGACUGCUGGUCUGAUCCAGUCUGGCUCUUCCUAUGUUCCUGCAGAUGCUGUUCAAUGUAGAUUCUAGUUCUCAAUUCUUCUCUCAUAGCUGCCAAAGAUCUCGUGUCCCCCUUCUGGGAUGAUUCCUCUAACAGUACACUGACCACAGUGAUGCCUGCUGCUUCAGCCCCCUCUGGUACCACAGUGGCUGGCCAUCUCUCAGCUAUGACUCCAGGUCAUGUCCAGUUCCUGCAAGGUGGCCACUCCAUAAAGUCUACAAAGAUGAACUUCACCCUAAGGAUCCUGAAUGGUGAGACCUUCCUACAGAUAUUGCUGAGGUUGCCCUGUGUAAGAGAGACAGCCUUCUGCCUUCUCAAUGUUCUGUUCUGCACUGUUUGUAUGUGGGGUGGGGAGGACAAAACCAACUCUGGUAAAUGCUAACCCAGCUGCCUAGGUGUCAGUAUGAGUUUGAGCCAGCUGUCUCUAGGGUAACAAUCUGUCCAUGGAUUUCUGGUUAACAUGCUCCUCGAUGUGACUGCCUACAGGCAUCUUGGGUUCAUCUUGUUAGUGGUGACUAUCGACUUAUUCCCUCCCCCUCUCCUUUCCUGGACUAUCCCAUGUGUAGGGCUUCAUGUGCUGAGAAAGCAAAGGCACUUCCUGAGGGAGAUGUUGGCAGUGUUACUUAACACCAUUUUUUUUCACCUUGAGAGUGGGGAGCUGCCAUCCUCAGCCCAGCUACUCUGGUCAAAGGGUGGAUCAGCUCUAUAGCGCUGAACCUCUGCUGGCCCAACAUGCACACAGGCUCAUUCAGAUGGGUGUUGGAGCCAAAUGACUGGGAUUAAAUGCCUGGGGUGGCAGGUUUAAGGGCCAGCAUAUGGGGCUAGCUCUUCUGCAGAGGGCUUCAUAACUGGGAGUCUUGUGUGGUUGCAACCACACACAUUCCUGAAUUAGAUAAGCUGGGGCAUUCAGUACCUUCCCUGAGCUGUUCAUAUACUCCAGCUAGUGGCUUAUUGGUGACAGGGGUCCCCCCCCCGCGAGCACAAGUCUGAGUCAGUCUCAAACUUAACACUUACCAUGGAGUUGAACUUCUGACACCGCAGACUCCAGCUCUUUGUUUCCAAUCCAGUUCAGAUUGAUGGUAACUGAGCUCAAGAGCUAGGUGGCUUUCAUCCAGCCCCUUGACCACUUGCUCCUUUCCUGGGCUGAAGAAACCUGGGCAGGGUGGCUGCUGGUCUGACCUCUCUGGAGAAUAGACACUUGGAUGGAGAUGGUGCUGGUAAACAGCUAUGGCUCACUGUUCCUGAGUGCAAGGACCCGAUACAGACUUUUCCAGCCUGUGACCUCCCUGGCUGCUGGAAAGGUGUACUCAGCCCAUGGGGCACUCCUCCUGUCACUGGGUGGAUGAGACAGGCCCACCUCUUCAGAGGUGCCCCAGACAUAUUUGGGAUAGUGCAAGACAUUGGCACAUGUAACCUAUCCUCUUCUCCCCUGCAGAGGACUUCAGUGUGAUGGCAGAGCCCUCAACAUACACCCCUGGUUCUCCCAUCUAUGUUGAGGCCAAAGUGGAAUCCAGUGCAGGUGUCUCCCCAAGAAUCUAUGUGGAGGAGUGCUACGGGAGCCAUGCAAAGGACCUGAGCCGUUCCAGGAGGAUCUAUGUGAUUGUGAACAACCAUGGGUCAGUGGGGGUGGAGGGUGGGGAGAUGAGACUGAGGAGGUGCUUGGGCUUGUUCUGCAUGCCCUCAGCUGUGGGGUCUCACUCCCAACACAGGGACAUGCAAUCUAUCCUGCUGGUUGGAUAUCUUCACUUCCCUGGAGCAAGAAUACAGCAGAGAGGGGGUGAGGGGAGCAGAUGUUCUUUGACCCUCAGCUGGUAGUAAUGUCUGUAUUGAACCCUGAUCACCCUCUCAGAUGUAGGGGUGUGUGGAUCCCUUGCUCUAGCAGGGUAAUAUGUCACUCCAAUGCAUACACUUGAGAGGGUCUCUUGUGCUGUGCCCAUCACUGUGGUAUUGGGUAGCCUAGGACAAGUCAAUGGGAAGAAUGGCAGCCUGGUUAGUAACAUGACUACCUUCACACUCAGUCUGCGCCUACUGCACAUCCCUGCUGGGGGGGGGCACUUCCUCUGAUCCCUUCCCCUUCUGAAGCCUGUGACCCUGCUGAAGGCAUCCCUGGCUGGCUCCCUUGUCUCCCACAGGUGUCUGCAUGGGGGGAAGUCUGGGAAUGUUGCUGUCUGGCGUCGGCCUGAGGAUUCUGCCUUGCAGUUUGCCAUCCCAGCUUUCAUGCUGGCUGACGAACCAGAGGAAAAGGUGAGGCCCAACUAUGGGUGGGGAGUGUGACUGGCUGUGUGGUUGGGUGUUGCUCUGCUAGUGGCUGAGCUCAGCCAGGGGCUGAUGGAGAGCAGCGGUCUGAGCACCUGCAUCCUAGAUGCUGCCAACUAAGAAGCAGACUUGGGAAUCUUGAACAAGCUUCCUGCAGCGACUGAAUGGAGCUGUCUGUACCUUGCAGCCUGGCCAAGGCACUCCGCAGCAAUUGCCUGCUUUGCUUCAGGGUCCUAAUUCUCAACAGAGGGUGCCCUAUGAGAGACUCUGCCCGUCCCUCUUGGCUAAGCCAUAAAAGCAGGAAUUGCUUGGUGAAACCCACCCUAACUGGACUCCAGAUCCUCAUACAAGGAUCCCAAAUUCUCCUCUGCCCUGUUAACUAGGUGCUUUAACUGCCUGGCUAGGGGUCAUCCUUGCCAUGCAAGACAGAUCUAGGAAGGCAGUGCUAUGUCCUGCCCUAUUGCCCAGGCUCAGAGAUGCAAGCUGGUGCCCUGCAAGGGAAUUUCAUGAGCAUCUCCAAAAAUGUAGGUGGGGCCUUCAGGGAGAUCUGUACCUUGGAAUGUGUGCAGUAGCCAGACUGGCUGAGCAUGUACAGGAAAUGGCUCAGAAGAGAGGCUUGUGCUUGGCUCAGCCCUCAGGAUCAUUCAACCAUGGGCUCCCUGUGCUGCCUCUCCAGACAGCCAACUCUUCCUGGGCCCUCUUGUGUACUAGCUUCAGUUCUGCUCCCCAGGGGCUCUGGACCUGCCUGGAGUGGGAAGGGUGCAUGUAUGCCAGUUGCAUGGCAGUAGGCAAGCCCAUCAUCCCCAGUCUGCUUCUGGACGCCUGCUAGGCUCCUUCCAAACUUAGGACAUCAAAUGAAACUGUCAGUCAGUUCAGGCUUCAUCCAAGAUGAAGCUUGGCCCAAAGGUUUCCCCUGGCUGCUCUGAUCAUGACAUUGAGCUCAACCCCUCUGCAGCAUAGCUUGCAUGUAAACCCACACCCCAGGUGCUGCUGGUGAAUCUGGGGUAGGAGCUCAGGGUUUGCUCUGAGCACAGCUGUCUCUUUCAGAUCUACAUUCACUGCCUGCUGACUGCAUGGGGCCAGGAAAGCCUCACAAACCUGGGGAAGAAGUCCUGCUAUUACAACAGUACCUCCUUCAGGUCUGCUCAGCCAUUCAGUGCAUUACUGGGGGCCAUAACCAAAGCAGCCCAUAACACUGGGACUAGUGGGGCUCUCCAAUAUAAGGAACAGCUGGCAGGGCUGUUGCAACAGCAGUGUCUGGGAAGGGCUUGUUCACAUCUGAACACAAAUGAGACACCACUCCAGAGCACCUGUCAAACGGUGCCUGGAGAGGCUCUUUGGACUAUGCUUGGAGGGAGGGCAUAUGGCUAAACUAGAGCCACCAUGACCUGGCUCCAAUGUGGCUCCCCUGCCUGCGAUGGCGUGGAGGGGACUGGUACUAGGAGGGUACCUCCAGGAAGCUGAUUUGACUCAGCUCUGAUCAGUAGUUACCGUUUGGUGCUUGAGUGGCCUAUGUGGAAGUAGUGGGUUUCCACUCGGUUCUAGUAGGCAAGCUGCCACAUGGGAAUGGUGGCCACAGCUGUCACCAACUGGGGCUUCCUCUCAGAGACGCCAAGGCUAUAAUGGUGUGGGGCUGGUCUGUCCUCAGAGUGCCUGCUUGUGGGGCUACAUGGGCUAACAUCUCUGUAGGACCACUCCUGAUCCCAGAUGUGCUGUGCAGGGACUGCUACCCAGUGACUCCUUCCUCUCUCCAUCUCCAGCUGGCAGAACCUAGAGGACCCUUCCCAAAACUUAAAGUGUAGCUGCUGUGACAGCCACUGCCCUGCUGACUCUGCUCCUCCAGAAGAACUAAGAGAGUUUAUAGGUGAAGGGAUGCUCCACAGAAAAGUAGCUGGCCCCUUGACAGUGCACAAGGAAGAGGCUCCAUGGUAUGAAGAACGAUGCCGUACCCUGAAGAAGCUUCUGCUGGUGGGUGUUGCUUUUGCGGGCAGCUGUCUAGUGGGAGCCUUCUUUGUAGGAGGUCUCUUGGCUCUGGCUCUGGCCUUGUUCCGGUCAUACCAGCGCAGCAAAGGCCAGAGGCUGCUGAGGAAGAGGAAGGAGUACCCCUAUCAAACAGAGCUGCAGAGUGUGGUGAACGCCCUCGUGACUACUGAAGAGAUACAGAUGGAGGAGAGAGAAUCCAGCAUAGACCACAACUUGAAUACGAAUGCAUCAGAGAAGGAAUAACCAGCCCUUCAGGCUACAAUAAAUGCUUUUUUUCCUCUGUCAAUCUCUUGUCUGUCUUCCCUCUGCUGACAAAUGGGGGUGGUGGGGAGGAGUCAAAAGCCAAGGAGUCAGGGCUCACUGCUGAGCUUCACAGAGAAACAGGUGCAAGUACCCGUGUCCUGACGUGCAAGUGCACUUGUGCACAGGUCCAAUCUCUGCCUUCAACUGAUCUGUAACAAUGAACCAGGGGAACUUCCUAGUAGCAAAGGACUCAGAAAAUAGAGCUGGAGUGACAGGGUAUCUCAAGGCUAGCAGUUAAGUCUCUGAAAACAGGAUGAACAGUCAAAGCUGCGCUAGAGGUCAGGGACAAUGUUUUGGGGUACGACAGUGGGCACCACCCAAAUCCUGCAUUUUCUGGUGUCUGUAUGUUGCAUUGUCUGCUUCUGUGAGGCUUAGAGGAAGGGAGAGACAAACCUCCUCACUUCUCUCCCUGCCAGCAUAUCAUGGUUAAGGCUCCCUCUGCUUUAGUGCAGGGACAGUCUGUCUAGCUAGUUCAAUAGCACAGGGAACUGGGAGUGAAUUCAGGUUAAAGCGGCUUAUUCUGAGGAGAGGGAAUUGCAGAG